AUUGAACGCUGGCGGCAGGCCUAACACAUGCAAGUCGAGCGGAUGAAGGGAGCUUGCUCCUGGAUUCAGCGGCGGACGGGUGAGUAAUGCCUAGGAAUCUGCCUGGUAGUGGGGGACAACGUUUCGAAAGGAACGCUAAUACCGCAUACGUCCUACGGGAGAAAGCAGGGGACCUUCGGGCCUUGCGCUAUCAGAUGAGCCUAGGUCGGAUUAGCUAGUUGGUGAGGUAAAGGCUCACCAAGGCGACGAUCCGUAACUGGUCUGAGAGGAUGAGCAGUAACAAUGGAACUGAGACACGGUCCAGACUCCUACGGGAGGCAGCAGUGGGGAAUAUUGGACAAUGGGCGAAAGCCUGAUCCAGCCAUGCCGCGUGUGUGAAGAAGGUCUUCGGAUUGUAAAGCACUUUAAGUUGGGAGGAAGGGUUGUAGAUUAAUACUCUGCAAUUUUGACGUUACCGACAGAAUAAGCACCGGCUAACUCUGUGCCAGCAGCCGCCGUAACAC
rnacentral:rRNA from 1 species